GUGGUCAAAAACUGCCACUGCUGCAAAUAAAAAGAGAAGUCACAAUAAAAGUUACUGAUGGGGAAAAAAAAAAGAAACGGAGCAUUUAUUUGCAGCGGGCCUCUUGUCUUUUUUUUUUUUGUUUUUCAUUUGUAACUUCCGUUGGGACUUUUUUUAUUUUUGCAUCCUUUUUUUAUUUGCAGUAGUGGCAGUUCUUGGCCAC